UCCUUGAUCCACAGCUCCGCGGCUUUGAAGACACACAGUUCCUACACUCCACCGUAGUGCCACCACACCAAUGUAUUUAUCAUUCAUGAGCCAAAUCACGAUACAACCCAUUUCCCAUGGUGGGCAUGACUUCAGUGACACGAUUUCAAGACGGUUAGGUAGGAUGAUUUCAAUUCUAGGUCAGAAAUGGAAGAUAUUUUAAUUACAAAUUUAUGAUUUAAAAGAAACACAAAUUUAAAAUUCAAUAAAAGGAAACCUAAUUGGAAGGGUGAUUGUAAGAAUAAUACCUCUUUGCAGAUUCCUGAUCUUCUUCAGCGGCGAUAAAAAGAAACCUUUUCCGUCGAUCAAAACUAAAUAGAUUUUAGCGACCUUUGAUUAGGAGUAAUCUGAGAAGAAAAAUAACAUAUUCGUUGAAGGUAUUACGGCGACAAUGAUUGUAACGGAUCGCCACAGC
rnacentral:lncRNA from 1 species